rnacentral:tRNA from 1 species
GCCUCCUUAGCUCAACUGGCAGAGCAACUGAUUUGUAAUCAGUAGGUUGCUGGUUCGAUUCCGGCAGGGGGCA